rnacentral:rRNA from 1 species
AGCGAACGCUGGCGGUAGGCCUAACACAUGCAAGUCGAACGACCCUAUCGGGGUAGCUGGCUGAUGGGUGAGGAGAGUGUGGGACGGUUGCUUAAGACUCGGAAUAAUACUUUGUAAUGUGUGCUAAUACCGAAAGACUCCCGCUAGGGCAAGAUUUGUCGUCUUUAGAGCGGCCGGCGUCUGAUUAGCUAGUUGCUUGAGGUAAUGGCUCAGUAAGGUGACGAUCAGUAGCUGGUCUGAGAGGAUGAUGAGCCACAUUGGUACUGGGACACAGCCCAAACUCCUACGAGAGGCAGCAGUGGGGAAUCUUGCGCAAUCGGCGAAAGCCUGACGCAGCCAUGCCGCGUGAAUGAUGAAGGUCUUAGGAUUGUAAAAUUCUUUCACCGGGGACGAUAAUGACGGUACCCGGAGAAGAAGCCCCGGCUAACUUCGUG